AUAUAGGUCUAUGCCCGACACACAGACGCUCGUUCCGUAUAUAAUUGUAAACAAAAGGCAUGGGGAUACCGGUUGCAUUAAGUUUAGUAGAUAGUUAGCUAACUAGAGUUUGCUAAAUUAAUUCAAGUUGCAAAACCAAACCUCUUUCCGGUGUAGGUGUCAAGCGCAUUUCACAACAAAAUGUUGAGAUGGUGCUAACAUCGGACAGCAGACAUUCAGGUAGCUACCACUGCUGACUAGGGUAUGUCGGGAAUCUGGUGACUGGUUUAGCGAAACUUUCAAAACGACCAUCGACCAAGCACCUAGCUGAGUCCUGCUGGCUGCCUCCUCUUCUUCUUUUCUCUCAAUUUCAGCCUUUUUGGCUGCCAGCUGCUUCAGCCUCUCCUCUGCAAUUCUUCGCUCCUCCUCUUCCAGCUCCUCUAGGGUUGUGUAACAGUGAUGGGCAGAUUGAUGGAGAGAGGCAGGUAAUUGGAACAGAGAGCAGGGGAAGCCUGAACUGCUCAGCAGGAGACAAGCUACUUUCAUUCAUUCAUUACCACAAUGGGAAAGUGUGCAGGCAUCCAAGCCAGUUCCAAUUGCAAGAGUGAAAAGUACAAUCCUUUUUAUACAAGUCUUGGCAGGCGUCUGACACCGCUGCAAGAUUCUCUGUCAAUCAGGGAGGGUGCACACAAGCAAGAGUCCUCAGAAGUGUAGGCAGUCAACCAUUUCCUCUAUUCUCUCUGCAAUCCAACAGCUGUGCUUCUGCAGUUACUGCACCAGAGGACUGAACAACCAACACAGCUGCAGUUAUGUGCUUACGAAAUUGGAGAGUGGUGAAUGCAAUAAUCUGCCGUUUUACCUUUAAGAGCCAAUUAAGCAUCAAAGAUGGGGCUCAAUUUCAGUUCAGUAAAUUCUGGGAACAUAUGGACAUUUUAAAAUAUGUUAAUUCACUUUAAAUUAUUUUGGGGAAUUAAGAAAGGAAUCGGACCCUACACUGAAAUGCCUAAGUACAAUUUAACAAAAUAUGGGAACAGGGACAACUGGAUGGUUGAGUGGUGCACACAAUCGGUGGGUAAGAUUAUGAAGGAGCAAAACAGGUUGCUAAGUGAGCUGGAGGAGCUCCAGUCCUCAUUUAUGGGUACAGACAAUGCUUAAUUUUCUAAUUCCUUACUGACUUUAAAUAAAUAAAUAACUUUUUUUCUGAUACAUAACAGAUAAAAUAAAUUCAAUUUAAAACUACUUGAGUUAAUAAAUGAAAAUGCAUUGAAUAUAUGACCUAAUUAUAAUGAGGGGGGUAAAUGUUAGCUUAUCUUGGGGAAAAUGUGUAAUUACUAUCAACGGUGACAAAAUACCAAUUACUGUUUUGGCCUGAAUAUAUCUUUUUUAAAAACCCUAUGGCUUAAAACAGAAAUGCUAACAAAAAUAAAAUGAUGCAAUAAAUCAGUAAAUAAAACAUGAGAACACAGUGUUCACUAAACAAAGGGGAAAAGUUCAGGGAAAAUAUUCAGUACAGAGGAUUUUGCUUCAGAUGCAGGGUUUGAAUAUUCAUGUCGAACAGGACAAAAUCACUUUUUAAAUUUCAACAAUAUACUGUAUGUGUUAAAAUAUUCUGCUGCAAUCCGUCACAAGGUAGGCCACAGAACGAAAGAAGAAUAAUGGAAGUGUGAGGCAGUCUGCUGCUGACGUCCAAAGUAAAAGACACUAAGGUGUAUGGCACACACACACACACACACACACACACAUACACACAUACACACAUAUACACAUACUGUACACACACACACACACACACACACACACACACACUCUCACACAUGCACACACACACACACACACACACACACACACACUUACCAUAUAUUGUAGCCAUUUGAAGCAAUUCACUGUGCAGGGCAUGGUUGUGAUUAAACCUUAGGAGACAGCCAAUGUGUACAGUAUCACACACUUCUUUCAAAGUAACACAUCCCUUUAAUUGAAUCUAGAGUCAGACUAGGGAAAGAACCAGAGAACAUUUCCAGGUCUCUGUACUUUUUUGGUUUGACUUUCUAUCAGGGGGUUAAAAUGAAAUGACGCUAAUGUUGCAAUAUAAUUUUGCAAUUAUAUCUUGCCUUGAACUACCUUUCUUUUUUAUGUGAAUAAACCUGAUUGAAUUUCAUUCCAUUCAUUGAUUUUAAGUCCAUCUUAAGUCACAGAUGCAUGAUGCGUUCACCAACACAAGGUUUCAAUUAUAUGAAAUGCUGAGAUUUCUGAAAAUUAUAUGUAGAAAAGAGAACUGUAAAUCCUUUGAAAUAUUUAUAAAAAGGUGCAAAUGUUAACUACAAAAUGUAAGAGCUCAAGCUUUUUACUCUGUCACAGGCUGGAGCUGAAUAUUGCUAUGAACUGUGAAGGUUGAGGUCAAAUUCUUCCAUAGUGUACUUAAUGAAGGUCUUCACAUUUCAUUGUUGUAAUUAUUGAACUUUGAGGUCAUCUAGGAGGGAUGUGAAAAAAUGUAUUUCUUAUGUAUUUCUUCUAACAAACUUUUAACAUUUUUACUGGACUGUAACGGACUAGAGUUUCAGAAGAACAUCUGUGGACUUACCUGAGCAUAAAGUGUUGCCAUUAAAAUAACAUAUUCUGGUGGUGCUGGUAAAACAAUAUUAGUGCCAAUGGUAGUAAUGAUGGCAUUGGCUGUGGUUGUAGUAGUGGUGGUAGUAGUAUUAGUGGUAGUGGUGAUGGGGAUGGUGCACCACAUUACAUAAAUUUAACACAUUACAGUAUCCUCAUACCUGUACAGAAUCUGUGCAUGCUGUAUGUAUCUAAACUUCAUGUAUGCUGAAAUAUACUGUUAUUCACACAUGACUUUUUAAACAGAGUUAUGUUACAGUUAAUGAUAGCUCACAGUUGUUAGCUGGUUAACAUCCACAUUUUUUUAUUUCAGCUAAUACGCACACACACACCUCUAGCUAAUGUGGGGGAACCUUUUGCUAGCCAAUUACAAGCCAUAAAAAAAUAUUUGACUGUGCCUUCGCUUUAUGUGUGCAAGUUAUCUAUAAUAUUAUAAUAAUAGCACUGGAUGUGUAACAACAGUAUAUAUAUUGAAAUGAGAAGUAUGAUAAAAGCAAAUAUAUUUUGCGGUAUUAAAUUGGCAUAUUUCAUGUAGUUGUUUAGAGGCAAUCUAAUAUUUUGGUACUUCUGUAUUUUAAAUUAGAUACAGUGCCGUGAAACUAUAAAGGAAGGAGACAAGCACUUAAUCAUGCCUUGGUUGACCAGAAAAGUUAAUGGUAAACGUGACUCAGCAGAGGGUCAAUCCUGUGGUCUGGAAACCAGGGACCAUAAAAGUUCCUCUGUAUAUGUACAUCAUUACAUUGCUAUUUCAUUUAUUUAAUAUUAAAAGUUUUCAAACACCCAUACCACCCAUGUGAAAAAGUAAUUUCUCCCUCAGUCAACCAGUUAACUAAAUUUAAUUGAUAAUUAGAUUCAGUUGAUUGAACACAGCCAAGUUG